GAUUCCGAUCACCAAGUCCACCCUAUAGGAACACGGGUUUGCUUCAUGCGAGGGAACCAUCGUCAAAUAGAUGAUCUCCCUUAAGCUUGAUAUCUUCCAUAAACGCUCCGGUUCCUUAGAGUUUGACGUUUUGGACUUCGUAUCAGUUUCGUUAUCUUUCAAUCUCGUACGGAACCGACAGGUAAUACCAUAACCUUGGUCUGUUGAGUGACCUCAGUGAAAUCAACGUUUUUUUUUUAUCAAUUACGUCUUCUAAAUGUGGCAAACCUGCAAUAUCUCCACCUAAAGCGUAAUGAUAACAAAUACUUACCGCGUCGCCAAGUCCAAAACUCACUUUAUCGCUCCGUCACCUUUGGUGUGUGUAUUUGUUUGCAUCGAUACAUUCCGCAUCCAACGAGUUCUGCAUUGUACCGGAUUUUUUUUUAUUGCAAAUCGGCAUUAAUUACGAACAGGAACGACGGGAACUAACAUUCUUCCAGUUGUAGCGUCGUCAACCUUCACAAUACGGUGUUCUUGCAUGAGAGCAGAGUAUGGACCGCGCCGCUGCGUGCUUCUUCUUUCCGCAACCUUACCGUACAGAUAUUCUUCGCUUUCCUGUGUCGUCGUAAAACUGCAUUCCCACCAUGAAAGGAUGAUGAUCAUCAUCAUGAUCGACGAGAGCAUCCUUGUUUUUUUUUUGUUGUUUGGCAAGUCGUUACUGUCGCUUCAUCUCGACGACGGCCGACCACAAUCCUUUGCGAGCAGACUUGGUUGGUCAUGUUCCCACAGGUUUCGCCCCGAACGUUCCCACGAUUCGUUUGAGUUGGAUUUCCAGCGAAUAGCGGCUAAAGAAGCAAAGGGGCAAGCAAUGUAUGGAUGCAGCAAUAGAGGGAGAAAGUACCGAACGUAGACCCUCUAAUUCUCCGCAAUCGAUUGGCUUUUCAUUCACAUCGUGACGGUCGAAGCUCGAAAUUUCGGAGAAAUUUGCCCAGAAAGUAGCCUGUGGUUUGAAUUCAUUGAACGGAGUUAGUAAGCUAGGCGCUCUAGUUUUUGAUCUUCUUCGAUGGAAGAUUUGUUAGAAAGUACGCCACUACCAGCUUAUCGGAAUCGGUUGUUUACAUUUCAAUGGCGACGGCAAAGGAAACAGCCAACACUGUAAACCUAACAAUACUCUUUAAAGAGUAAUGUGUAUUUUGUGCCCACUUUCAAGUUCCUCGCGUUUACUCAUUAAAGAGUGAAAACCAAGUUGGAAUUGAUAAAGAAACAUUCAAAGAUGCUGAUGGCGGAAGAGCCAGGCGAUCGAAAAAGUUAUAAGCCACCAACAAAGUUGCCUCGCACUGAAACCUCCGAUUCUGGAAUUGAUUGCUGAUGCAACUGCAGCUGCUGGUGAUGUUCCGUAGAUUAAGAAGCUGAAGGCGGUAGUCGACAGUAAGGAACGGCAAUUUUUUCCCAACAUUGGUCCCGGAUGCAACCGCUGAAGAGGAGUCGUAGUGAGCUUGGUAUCGGGAGGACGAAACGGUUGACGGUAAUACGGAAUAUGCAUUCGAUUCUGGUAUUGACUGAUGGCCCUGAAGCAGCUAGUCGUGGUGCUCCGCAGUUCGGCGCAGAAUGCCGCCACCGCCCACCAGAUGGAACCUCGUUUGUAGCAUAAAUGGUCCGAUUUGCCCGAGAACAGUGUAGAUCUCAUGAUCAAGUUUAUGAGAACCAGUUAUUUCCAUCGACGGAAUCGGCCGGAUCAUGCAUAUACGUAGUUCAUACUAAAAGAAUACACACUUAAAAUAAAUCGCAGAUUUCUGUGAAAUUUCGCCGAAAUCUCAACAGCAGAACUGUUCGGUAAAUAAUUUUACAGAUUUUCGGUGGUUUUGACAGCUGAACAAAAGAAAAAUUACCAAAAAAUCGGUGAAAUAAUUACCGAACAAAUCUGCUGUUGAGAUUUCGGUGAAAUGAAGCAAAAUUCACGGAAAUCUGUGAAAUGAUUUAAGUGUGUACGUCUGGAAAUGGCAAGUUUCGCGUCACCGGUGGAAGAACAACUUAUUAUUUGUUUAUAAACAUUAUGUAAAUAUAUGUACGUUCAUAAUUGAAUAAAUAUUAUCAUGUUCGAUUAUUUUAA